rnacentral:rRNA from 1 species
GGAGCAUGUGCACGCCUGUCUUGACUUCAUUCAUCCACCUGUGCACCACUUGUAGUCUUUGAGGGGUCUGAGAGAUUGGCGACUUGUCGGGAAUUCUCCCGGAUGUGAGGACUGCAGUGUGAAAGCACGGCUCUCUUCUACCUGGCCAUGAACCCUGCCCCUCGAGGUCUAUGUAUUUAUUCAUACACUAUGUAGCAUGUUACAGAAUGUCUCAAUGGGCCUUUGUGCCUAUAAAAUCAUAUACAACUUUCAGCAACGGAUCUCUUGGCUCUCGCAUCGAUGAAGAACGCAGCGAAAUGCGAUAAGUAAUGUGAAUUGCAGAAUUCAGUGAAUCAUCGAAUCUUUGAACGCACCUUGCGCUCCUUGGUAUUCCGAGGAGCAUGCCUGUUUGAGUGUCAUUAAAUUCUCAACUCCUCCAGCUUUUGUUAAGUUGGCUUUGGAGCUUGGAUUGUGGAGGUUUGCUGGCCCUUCUAUUGACUGGGUUCAGCUCCUCUGAAAUACAUUAGCGGAACCGUUUGCAAUCCGCCACAGGUGUGAUAAUUAUCUACGCCAGGGGUUGCUCUCUGUGUUCGGCUGCCAAUCGUCUCUGCUUCAAGAGACAAUUUUCUGAAUGCUUGACCUCAAAUCAGGUAGGACUA